rnacentral:sRNA from 1 species
GGAAGGCUUUAGGUCGGUUGACUUAUGUCGACCACUCUUAUCUUUCAGACUCUUAUCUUUCUGUCUCUGCUGCAAGGUAAUCACUAGUUGAUAAGAACGACUCUUCAUAGACGAACAAUGCAACUCUACCUUUGGAACAGCAAUUCUGAGCUCAGCCUCUCGCCAUUUCUUCUCCCAUCAAGAUAAGUAUUCGUGCUUUACAUUUUUUGAUUUUUGAAGUCAAGCUCUAAAUUGAGUCCCGACUCAAAAAGCUUAGUUCACCUAGCAUCGAGCUACAUUCAAAAGAUAAAAAUAAUUCUUGCAGUUAAUCCGAGCUCAACGCUCGCAGUCACACUUAUAAAUUGAGCCGAGCUCGACGCUUGCUAUUAUGUGAAAAUGUUUCACAAAAACCAAGACCUCGUCUUGCUUUAAGUCUUCAAAACAGGAUAAGCCGAGAGUUCCUCGCACCUUAAAGAAAAAAAGAGCUCAAAAGCUCACGUAUCUUGCUAACCAAAUGAUAAUGGCAUGUUUGCAGCUCAUCGCAACUUAUGUUUUUUUUAGCUCAUCUGCCCGGCUAUCUCGCAGAUCGCAAGACAAACCAUCUAGCAACCUAUAUCCUAGAUCGCUCGUCAGAUCAUCUGAUAGCUUGCCUUGCAGCUUGUUAGCAAGAUCAUUUGGUAACCUAUCUCACUGCUCGGCUCAUCAGUCAGGUCAUUUCUCUGCUAGGCAUUCAGAUCAUCUAGGAGAGCAUCCCACAGCUCCUCAACAACUCAUGAGGUCCAUCAGACUACCUAACUCACAAGCUUAGCCUUGUUUUAUAUCGUCGACGCGUGCCAAGCUAAACUGACGUAUCUUGGAGGUUCAAGGGAUCAAAUUUUAAUUCGCAUCUUCCUAACGUAUAAGCCGAAUAUUCACUUCUUUUAAUUCGGAAAAAAUCGAGUUUAGCAUUUGGAUUUUCCCGAACUGGGGGGGACUAAUUGUUGGUGCCGGAAUUAGCACCUCCGACAAUACCGGCUUAAACCAGAGGAACUACGAAUUAGACUGAGAUUUCAAUCAAACCGGGGUAUCCCGGUUUAGCUUGUUAAUGGGCCAAAAUAAGGAGGUCAUUUGCCGACUUUAGCCCCAAGUAGGGAGACCGUCUAGCCGACUUCCUAAUUCGAAGAAAAAGAAGUUUUCUCCUUUGAAAAUAGGAAGUCUUUGGAGAUAAAGGAAAUUAGAAGAUUCAAUCCUCGAAGAAAUAGAAGUUUAACAAAUCUUUUAACCGUCUUAAUAGUGUGUAAAUAGAGGGGUUUGUCCUCUAUUUGGGGGAUCCGAAAUUUAAUACUAAAAACCCUAGUUUUCUUCAUUGUUCUUGGGCAAAACCCUAACUUUGUCUCUAAGCAACCUUGUUCUUUUUUUCAUUGAAUCUUUGGUCACUAAAUAGCGAGAGAGAGUUAAGUAAAUUUGUUUACCCCCUUUAAACAAAUUUAUUGUGUGAUUUUCAGAAUCAACAAUCUCCCCC